CUUCCCAGCGCCUCGUGGCACGCACAGGAGCUCAGCUCCUCUUUCAGGAGCUGCCGAGUUGGUGUUUUGUCUCCAUGCAAAGCCAUGGCUUUUGCUGAGCUCCUGCAGGCAGGCGAGCUCCCGCUGAACACUGGACAACUCGAUGUUAACAGGCUCUUGCUGCUGUGCGAGGGCAGUGGUUCUCAGCGAAGAUGUAAUCUGCGCAUCAUGAGACAAGAACGCAACAGAUCUGCCAGGUUUUAAUGCAACAUACCAACUAUUUUGACUUGGUCUUAGAAAUGCUUUCCAGUGUCAGAUCAAAUUAGUGUUUCCUAUGACUGAAGCCACUGAAACUUUGUCAGCGGCGCUCCAUGCCACAAAAGCCCAGAGCCUCGCGCUGAGCAAGUCGCCCUCAAAUCACCCGCGGCGUGGAAGCGCGUCGUGCCCCGCUCACGUGGGACGGGGCGAUGGAGAUCCAAAUGGGAACGGACGCUCGGGUAAGCGAGUGCUUCGAGCCCGGUCUGGUUCAUGUCUGAUGCAACAGGCGCUGGGGAGGCCAAGGAGAGGGAUUUCUGUUCCACGAAGUGUUCCCGGUGCUGGGUGGGAUGCAAAUCCCUCCGGCUUGCAGCUAGCAGCAGAGAGUGAGUUCCUUGGUCCCUGGCAAAAUUAUUUAUUUGUUGCUGUCGUAUGCUGCUUAAAUACUUGCUUUCUGACAACAGUUUUCCUUCUCCAUUAG
rnacentral:lncRNA from 1 species